rnacentral:rRNA from 1 species
AACGAACGCUGGCGGCGCGCCUAAUACAUGCAAGUCGAACGAGAAGGUGUAGCAAUACACUUGUACAGUGGCGAACGGGUGAGGAAUGCAUGGGCAACCUACCCUCGAGUGGGGAAUAACCAGCCGAAAGGUUGGCUAAUACCGCGUACGCUUCCGGGGUCUCCGGAUCCGGAAGGAAAGUCACACCGUGGGUGUGACGCUCAAGGAUGGGCUCAUGUCCUAUCAGCUUGGGUGAGGUACGGCUCACCAAGGCAACG